rnacentral:rRNA from 1 species
UAAGGAAUAUUGGUCAAUGGAGGCAACUCUGAACCAGCCAUGCCGCGUGCAGGAAGACUGCCCUAUGGGUUGUAAACUGCUUUUAUACGGGAACAAACCCCACUACGUGUUAGUGGGCUGAGUGUACUGUAGGAAUAAGGAUCGGCUAACUCCGUGCCAGCAGCCGCGGUAAUACGGAGGAUCCAAGCGUUAUCCGGAUUUAUUGGGUUUAAAGGGUGCGUAGGCGGCCCAUUAAGUCAGGGGUGAAAUACGGUGGCUCAACCAUCGCAGUGCCUUUGAUACUGAUGGGCUUGAAUGCGGAUGAGGUAGGCGGAAUGAGACAAGUAGCGGUGAAAUGCAUAGAUAUGUCUCAGAACUCCGAUUGCGAAGGCAGCUUACUAAGUCGUGAUUGACGCUGAUGCACGAAAGCGUGGGGAUCAAACAGG